rnacentral:rRNA from 1 species
UCCAGACUCCUACGGGAGGCAGCAGUGGGGAAUAUUGCACAAUGGGGGGAACCCUGAUGCAGCAACGCCGCGUGAAGGAAGAAGGCUUUCGGGUUGUAAACUUCUAUCAAUAGGGACGAAAAGAAUGACGGUACCUAAAUAAGAAGCCCCGGCUAACUACGUGCCAGCAGCCGCGGUAAUACGUAGGGGGCGAGCGUUAUCCGGAUUUACUGGGUGUAAAGGGAGCGUAGACGGUUAAUCAAGUCUGAAGUGAAAGCCCGCGGCUCAACUGCGGAACGGCUUUGGAAACUGAGUAACUGGAGUGCUGGAGGGGCAGGCGGAAUUCCUGGUGUAGCGGUGAAAUGCGUAGAUAUCAGGAGGAACACCGGUGGCGAAGGCGGCCUGCUGGACAGUAACUGACGUUGAGGCUCGAAAGCGUGGGGAGCAAACAGGAUUAGAUACCCCCGUAAUU